rnacentral:rRNA from 1 species
GACGAACGCUGGCGGCGUGCCUAACACAUGCAAGUCGAGCGCGCAGCCCUCGGUAGCAAUACCGGUGGUGGGCGAGCGGCGAACGGGUGCGUAACACGUGGGCAACCUGCCCCAGACUCUGGGAUAACCCCGGGAAACCGGGGCUAAUACCGGAUACUCUCGGCCGGCCGCAUGAUCGGCCGAGGAAAGCUCCGACGGUCUGGGAUGGGCCCGCGGCCUAUCAGCUCGUUGGGGGGGUAACGGCCUACCAAGGCGACGACGGGUAGCUGGUCUGAGAGGACGGGCAGCCACGCGGGGACGGGGAUACGGGCCAGACUGCUACGGGAGGCAGGAGUGGGGAAUCUAGAGCAAUGGGCGGAAGCCUGACGCAGCGACGCCGCGUGAGGGAUGAAGGCCUUCGGGUUGUAAACCUCUGUCGGCAGGGACGAAGCGAAAGUGACGGUACCUGCAGAAGAAGCCCCGGCUAACUACGUGCCAGCCGCCGCGGUAA